GCCAGCAUGGCAUAGUGGUUUGAGUGUUGGACUACGACUCUGGAGUCCAACGUUCGAAUCCCAGCUCGGCCA